rnacentral:rRNA from 1 species
AUUGAACGCUGGCGGCAGGCCUAACACAUGCAAGUCGAGCGAGCGGCGGACGGGUGAGUAAUGUAUGGGGACUGCCCGAUAGAGGGGGAUAACUACUGGAAACGGUGGCUAAUACCGCAUACUAUCGGAUAACCCAUAUGGGAUUAGCUAGUUGGUGGGGUAAAGGCUCACCUAGGCGACGAUCCCUAGCUGGUCUGAGAGGAUGAUCAGCCACAGUGGGACUUGGACACGGCCCAGACUCCAAGGGAGGGAGCAGUGGGGAAUAUUGCACAAUGGGCGCAAGCGUGAUGCAGCGAUGCCGCGUGGGGGAUGAAGGCUUUCGGGUUGUAAACCUCUGUCGCUAUCGAACGGGUAGGUGGAGAAGAAGCGCCGGCUAACUACGUGCCAGCAGCCGCGGUAAUAC